rnacentral:rRNA from 1 species
AUGGCACCCCGUCAGCCGGCGAGUCCACCUUGCCGCCGCGCCCGCCGCUGCAGUUCACAGGGCCUCCGCCUCCGGCGUUCACCAGCGUCCGGCCAUGCCCACGCCUUGUGCCCCGCCAUCGCCGGAGCGAGCUCGUCGCCCCACCUCCUGCGGUUGACCUCGGGUCGCUGCUGCUCUGUUGCCGGCGAGCUUGCCUCCGCCUCUACUCCUGCUGCUGCAUCCCUUGCUCCGACGCCUUGCCUCGCCUCCUGCCUCCGGCAUGCCCCGCUGGAAGUGUGUGUGCCCGCGCCCAGCGCCAAGACCUCCCCUUCCUCGACAUGUCUAGGACGAGGAGGAUGA